rnacentral:lncRNA from 1 species
GUGGCCACUAGGUUCGGUGAUGUUGCUACAAGAAAUGAUCACAAAAAGUGAUCUAACAAAGGAAGGGAACCAAGUCAAAAGGUUGUCGGUGCUUCAUCUAACAACAAAACGAUGGCUCACAUUUUCGGAUUCAUUGCCCAAUCUAUUUUGGUUCAAAUGUUAGGUACCCUUUUAUCCGCUUUAAUUUGUUCCUGAAAUUAUGUAAAGC